rnacentral:rRNA from 1 species
UCAGGACGAACGCUGGCGGCGCGCCUAACACAUGCAAGUCGAACGGAGCUUAAAGAGCUUGCUUUUUAAGCUUAGUGGCGAACGGGUGAGUAACGCGUGAGUAACCUGCCCUAGAGUGGGGGACAACAGUUGGAAACGACUGCUAAUACCGCAUAAGCCCACGGUGCCGCAUGACACUGAGGGAAAAGGAUUUAUUCGCUUUAGGAUGGACUCGCGUCCAAUUAGCUAGUUGGUGAGGUAACGGCCCACCAAGGCGACGAUUGGUAGCCGGACUGAGAGGUUGAACGGCCACAUUGGGACUGAGACACGGCCCAGACUCCUACGGGAGGCAGCAGUGGGGGAUAUUGCACAAUGGGGGAAACCCUGAUGCAGCGACGCCGCGUGGAGGAAGAAGGUUUUCGGAUUGUAAACUCCUGUCGUUAGGGACGAUAAUGACGGUACCUAACAAGAAAGCACCGGCUAACUACGUGCCAGCAGCCGCGGUAAAACGUAGGGUGCAAGCGUUGUCCGGAAUUACUGGGUGUAAAGGGAGCGCAGGCGGGAAGACAAGUUGGGAGUGAAAACCAUGGGCUCAACCCAUGAAUUGCUUUCAAAACUGUUUUUCUUGAGUAGUGCAGAGGUAGAUGGAAUUCCCGGUGUAGCGGUGGAAUGCGUAGAUAUCGGGAGGAACACCAGUGGCGAAGGCGGUCUACUGGGCACCAACUGACGCUGAGGCUCGAAAGCAUGGGUAGCAAACAAAAGUAGAUACCCUGGUAGUCCAUGCCGUAAACGAUGAUUACUAUGGGUGUUGGGGGAUUGACCCCCUCAGUGCCGCAGUUAACACAAUAAGUAAUCCACCUGGGGAGUACGACCGCAAGGUUGAAACUCAAAGGAAUUGACGGGGGCCCGCACAAGCAGUGGAGUAUGUGGUUUAAUUCGAAGCAACGCGAAGAACCUUACCAGGUCUUGACAUCCGAUGCAUAGCACAGAGAUGUGUGAAAUCCUUCGGGACAUCGAGACAGGUGGUGCAUGGUUGUCGUCAGCUCGUGUCGUGAGAUGUUGGGUUAAGUCCCGCAACGAGCGCAACCCUUAUUGCCAGUUACUACGUUAAGAGGACUCUGGCGAGACUGCCGUUGACAAAACGGAGGAAGGUGGGGAGGACGUCAAAUCAUCAUGCCCUUUAUGACCUGGGCUACACACGUACUACAAUGGCGUUAAACAAAGAGAAGCAAGACCGCGAGGUGGAGCAAAACUCAAAAACAACGUCUCAGUUCAGAUUGCAGGCUGCAACUCGCCUGCAUGAAGUCGGAAUUGCUAGUAAUCGCGGAUCAGCAUGCCGCGGUGAAUACGUUCCCGGGCCUUGCAC